rnacentral:lncRNA from 1 species
UGUCACUCUCUUUCACUUGAACAGGGGCUUGAGCGCACGACCGUCCCCAGCGCGGCCCGCGGCUCCGCGCGAUGCCCUCGUGCUGGCCCGCAGAGACGGCCCCGGGCCAGGCUCCCACGUGAGCACGCCCACGGCAGCACAGGAAGCCCUCCGACGUCACGGCGCGCGCACCCGCGCCGCCCCCGCAGCCGGGCCGGGGGUCCCGGGGGAGCAGCCGGGGGUACGGCAGCCACCCAGGCCCGGGGAGCGAAGAGAGGCGCGGAGGUUCCCCCGGCCCUCCGCAGCCGGGCCCCGCCGCCCCCGGCCGACGGCGUUCAGAACAAAGCCCGGCUGCGGUGCGGGCACCUCCCAGCCCCUCCGGCCGCCGCCCCGGCCCCCGCUCCGGGGACCCCAGGAGGCUGGCGUGCUACUCCCCCGCCUGCGCUUUUCGGUUGGGCGGGGAGACAAGCAGCCCCACGAGGCCCAGGACGGCGGGAGCGGAGGCGGCGCCGGCCGUUAGGCUCCCGGGGCCGGAACAGCACAAGGCUGCAUCCCGGGCUGCCCGAGCCCGCGGGAGACGGCAGAGGAGGGCGGCAGCGGGAGAACCCGGGGGCUCCGCGCCGCCGCUCCUCCAGACCCGACCGCGGAUCCUCCCACCCUCCGGCCCCAGGGUCCCCGCCUCCGCGGCGACGCGGCCCUCAGCCCCCGGGCCGCCCGCGCGCAGCCCCCCAACCGCCGCCGCCCGCCCGGCGCUCGCUCCCCCGCUCCCCGCGCGGCGCCCCGGCCUCGGCAGGCGGCGGAGGCGGGCGCCGGGCCCCGCACGCGGGGCGGAGGCUGCCGGCUGGCCAGCCCGCGGCAGCCCGGAGCGCACACGAGGAGCCGCGGCGCCCACGCGCAGCCCACCACGCGCUCCGCUCCGACUCGCCGCCGCCGCCGCCGCCUGCAGCAGCGCGGGCAGCGCAGCGCCCGGAGCCGGGAAGGACCGAGCCCCGACUCCCGGUACUUGUCUCCCUUUCCACCCCCCCCGCCGUCCCGGGACUCGCAGGCUCCGCCGCGCACGGGGCCGGUUCUGGGGGAGGGAAUGUAAACAAAUCGGGGUUUUAUAGUUACCUCACACUCGAGUGCCGUGUGCAUCUCCUCUCCGCUCGGUACCAAACCCCGGCUGCACCAAAUCGUGUAUUCACCAAAGCCGGCUGCGCUAACUGCGUCGCGGAGGCCCGCACGUCAGACACCACACUACGCUAG